GCAGCUGUAGCUCAGUUGGUUAGAGCGCCUGUUUGUGGAACAGGAGGUCGGUGGUUCGAGACCACCCAGCUGUACCA
rnacentral:tRNA from 1 species